UACGGAGGGUGCAAGCGUUGUCCGGAUUUAUUGGGUUUAAAGGGUGCGUAGGCGGCCAUUUAAGUCUGGGGUGAAAGCCCGUUGCUCAACAACGGAACUGCCCUGGAAACUGGAUGGCUUGAGUACAGACGAGGGUGGCGGAAUGGAUGCUGUAGCGGUGAAAUGCAUAGAUAGCAUCCAGAACCCCCGAUUGCGAAGCAGCUGCCUAGACUGUAACUGACGCUGAGGCACGAAAGCGUGGGGAGCGAACAGG
rnacentral:rRNA from 1 species